GAUGAACGCUGGCGGCGUGCCUAAUACAUGUAAGUCGAACGGAGUAUUUAGCAAUAGAUACUUAGUGGCGAACGGGUGAGUAACGCGUUGGUGACCUGCCCCGAAGAGAGGGAUAACAAUCCGAAAGGAUUGCUAAUACCUCAUGUGGUCAUUAGGGUUAGAGGCCUGAUGACUAAACGGAUUUAUUCGCUUUGGGAGGGGCCUGCGUCCCAUCAGCUCGUUGGUAGGGUAAUGGCCUACCAAGGCUAUGACGGGUAGGGGACCUGAGAGGGUGACCCCCCACAAUGGAACUGAAACACGGUCCAUACACCUACGGGAGGCAG
rnacentral:rRNA from 1 species